GGUAAGGUAACUCUUGCUGUUUUCUGGUUUCCCCCUCCUUGGACCGAUUGUUGAGUGAGUUUUCUUUUUUGAACAUGACUUUGUCUUGAUGGGGUCGCACCACCAUUGCAUGCGGCUGUGAGUUCGAAUCCUUGAAGAAUGAGAUAGGAAGGCUGUUGUCCUUGCUUUAAGCGCUAAUCUUGGGGGUAUUCAUGGAGGUGCACAAGUUCUUAGAUAAUGGGACUGUUCGAUGAUGUUUGGAAUGCUUGAUUUAAAAGUAAAGUGCCAAGGAGGACGUAAAAGCUUUUGAGGAC